ensembl:lncRNA
AGAUGAACUGUUUCUUCUGAAAUGAGUGCGAUUUGCUGGAGAGAAAGAAGCUCACUGACUCAUCUCUGUGUCUGACUUCUCUCUGUGAACUCUUCUUUUUUUCCCCCUUUCCAAAAGCAACUGCAGUAAAUAUUUACAUGCCGUGUCUGGCAGCUGUAUGAGAUGGAGAACACCAAUUAUGAUUCUGGCUUUUUGCUUCGUGGUUAAGCCUUUCGAGCCUUGCAGGCAGGGUUGCAUGUGAAUCUGUUGUGUAUCUGUGCGGUGCAUGCAGCUUGACAAGUAGCUUCACUUUUGGUUUUACGUCAUUUUUUGGCGAACCACCCUUUUUGCCACUUAUCUAUUUUUUUUCACUGCCUUUUAUAGAAGAAAAUACUGAUUCACAUUCUUGGGAAACAAGCAUAGGGGUUUACAGUGACGCUGAUGGUGUUUUACACUCAUUAGCAGAAAUUCGAUACUCGAGAGCUCCUCUUCAGAAACAUGACAUAGAAUAACUAUUCAAAUGUAUUUAACACUGCAAAUUCAUUUUGCAUUUUACCUGCAUAAUUUAUGAUGAUGAUAGUAUUUAUAUUUUUAUGCCAAAACCUGAACAAAAAAAAUACACCGUGCACUUUGAAGGCAGAAAAAACACGGGAACCAAGACAAGGCAUGGAAAUGAUUGAUGUUGAUACGUCUUAGGUCCUGUCUGCACCUGCCAAGUGUGUUGGACUGGCCGCAGGGCUAUGGAGCUCACCGCCUAUCCGCAGAUGCUCCAGGGAGACUACCAUAGAGUGACGGGCCUCCACUACAUGUCGUCCUUCUCUGAUGCCGAGGACUGCUGCGACGACACCAGCUCAGGCAGCUCAAUCACGCUGGACUGGCAGACACAAGGAACAGGCGGCUGACCCUCAUCCAAGAAGUGUUAUAAUCCAAACAUGUAAAUAAACGUGGAUUCGUGCACAGAAAAUGUGUAUUUAC